rnacentral:rRNA from 1 species
UACGGAAGGGGGCUAGCGUUGCUCGGAAUCACUGGGCGUAAAGGGUGCGUAGGCGGGUCUUUAAGUCAGGGGUGAAAUCCUGGAGCUCAACUCCAGAACUGCCUUUGAUACUGAGGAUCUUGAGUUCGGGAGAGGUGAGUGGAACUGCGAGUGUAGAGGUGAAAUUCGUAGAUAUUCGCAAGAACACCAGUGGCGAAGGCGGCUCACUGGCCCGAUACUGACGCUCAGGCGCGACAGCGUGGGGAGCAACAGG